rnacentral:rRNA from 1 species
AUGCCGCUGGCUCGAUUUUACAGUGCUGUUAAAAAUCUCGCUGUUAGUUUCUCUGUACAUUGCUCUUUCAUGCCACAACAGAUGAUAUGUGGGGCUCCUUUCCUCGCGGCCCGUUUCGCAGUUGCAACGGGAAGAAAUCUUAGGGUCCCUUAUGUUGUGUGCGCGGUGGAAGCGGGUGAAAACCUAGCUGCCAAUCCCCUCCCGUCCUCGAUCCCCACACCCCCAUGCCUCGUCUCUCCUCUCCUGCUCACGACUACCGCCGCCGCGCCCCUUCUGCUCCUCCUCUGCCUAGCGUUGCCUCUCCUCCUCUUCUUCAACGGAAUCCUGCCGGAUCCCCCCUGCAUGCUGGCUUCUUCUUGA